rnacentral:rRNA from 1 species
UUGCCUUAAGAUGAGGUCUCCCGAAGCGAAAGCUUGAAAGACACCUUGAAGAUGACGAGGUUGAUAGGCCAGGAGUAGAAGUUCAGUAAUGAAUGUAGCGUACUGGUACUAAUAAGUCGAGAGCUUAACUUA